rnacentral:rRNA from 1 species
GACGAACCGUGCGAACGUUAUUCGGAAUCACUGGGCUUAAAGGGCGCGUAGGCGGGAUCGCAAGUCUGCGGUGAAAGCCUCCAGCUUAACUGGAGAAGUGCCGUGGAUACUGCGGUUCUUGAGGAGGGUAGGGGCAUCUGGAACGUUGGGUGGAGCGGUGAAAUGCGUUGAUAUCCAACGGAACUCCGGUGGCGAAGGCGAGGUGCUGGACCCUUUCUGACGCUGAGUGCGCGAAAGCCAGGGGAGCGAACGGG